rfam:Trichobilharzia regenti genome assembly, scaffold: TRE_scaffold0021800
AGUUAGCUGACGAGUCCCAAAUAGGACGAAAUGCGCAUCCUGGAU